rnacentral:misc_RNA from 1 species
UUCACUCAACCGGAACACCGGAGUGGUGACAUUUUGUGCAUGGCUGAGUCUUUAUCAAUAUUGCAAAGUAGUUACAGCAGUUGUUUUAUUGAUGCACACAGUCAUCUAACAGAUGAAGUAUUUGAUAAAGAUAUUGCCGAUGUAAUAGCAGAAGCUCAAAGGAUAGGAGUAAAAGCGGCACUGGUUGUUUCUGAGAAUGAGGCACAGUUCAACAAAGUGAUUAGUUUGGCUGACAGAUUUCCAGAGUUUGUUCUGCCAUGUCUUGGAGUCCACCCUGUUCAGCAAGAUGCUGAUCAGGCAAGAAGUGUUAACCUCAAGGACAUAGAAAAUGUGGCAGCUAUUUUAGAAAGACACCAUGAAAGAUUAGGAGCUGUUGGAGAGAUUGGACUGGACUUCACUCCAAGAUUCUGUAAAGCUGAUGAUGAUAAAACAACACAGAAGUUAGUCUUUACCCAGCAGGUUCAACUAGCCCAAAAAUAUGAUCUUCCCAUAAAUGUUCAUUCGAGAUCAGCGGGAAGACCAACAAUAGCACUGUUAAAAGAAUUAGAAAGAUAAGCUGGUAUCUCAGUUACCCCUGGAAAACAUUAUUUUGGAAACAGAUUCUCCAGCCUUAGGACCUGUGAAAGAGGAAAGAAAUGUCCCAGCAAAUGUUACCAUUUCCUGUGAUUACAUUGCUACAGUAAAGAAAAUAGAUCC